AAUAGAUACCCGGGUAGUCCACACCGUAAACGUUGGGCGCUAGGUGUGGGAUCCAUUCCACGGGUUCCGUGCCGCAGCUAACGCAUUAAGCGCCCCGCCUGGGGAGUACGGCCGCAAGGCUAGAACUCAAAGGAAUUGACGGGGGCCCGCACAAGCGGCGGAGCAUGCGGAUUAAUUCGAUGCAACGCGAAGAACCUUACCUGGGUUUGACAUACACGGGAAGCCUGCAGAGAUGUGGGUCUCUUUGAUACUCGUGUACAGGUGGUGCAUGGCUGUCGUCAGCUCGUGUCGUGAGAUGUUGGGUUAAGUCCCGCAACGAGCGCAACCCUCGUCCUAUGUUGCCAGCGGGUUAUGCCGGGGACUCAUAGGAGACUGCCGGGGUCAACUCGGAGGAAGGUGGGGAUGACGUCAAGUCAUCAUGCCCCUUAUGUCCAGGGCUUCACGCAUGCUACAAUGGCCGGUACAAAGGGCUGCGAUGCUGUAAGGCGGAGCGAAAUCCCGAAAAAGCCGGUCUCAGUUCGGAUUGGGGU
rnacentral:rRNA from 1 species